UACGGGGGGGGCGAGCGUUGUUCGGAAUUAUUGGGCGUAAAGGGCGCGUAGGCGGUGUGGCAAGCCAGGUGUGAAACCUCCAGGCUCAACUUGGAGCUUGCAUCUGAAACUGCCGUGCUAGAGUGUGGGAGAGGAGAGUGGAAUUCCUGGUGUAGCGGUGAAAUGCGUAGAUAUCAGGAGGAACACCAGUGGCGAAGGCGGCUCACUGGCCCGAUACUGACGCUGAGGUGCGAAAGCGUGGGGAGCAAACAGG
rnacentral:rRNA from 1 species